rnacentral:rRNA from 1 species
UUCUUUGCCGGCGACCGGCGCACGGGUGAGUAACACGUAUCCAACCUGCCCUUUACUCGGGGAUAGCCUUUCGAAAGAAAGAUUAAUACCCGAUAGCAUAAUGAUUCCGCAUGGUUUCAUUAUUAAAGGAUUCCGGUAAAGGAUGGGGAUGCGUUCCAUUAGGUUGUUGGUGAGGGUAACGGCUCACCAAGCCUUCGAUGGAUAGGGGUUCUGAGAGGAAGGUCCCCCACAUUGGAACUGAGACACGGUCCAAACUCCUACGGGAGGCAGCAGUGAGGAAUAUUGGUCAAUGGGCGCUAGCCUGAACCAGCCAAGUAGCGUGAAGGAUGAAGGCUCUAUGGGUCGUAAACUUCUUUUAUAUAAGAAUAAAGUGCAGUAUGUAUACUGUUUUGUAUGUAUUAUAUGAAUAAGGAUCGGCUAACUCCGUGCCAGCAGCCGCGGUAAUACGGAGGAUCCGAGCGUUAUCCGGAUUUAUUGGGUUUAAAGGGAGCGUAGGUGGACUGGUAAGUCAGUUGUGAAAGUUUGCGGCUCAACCGUAAAAUUGCAGUUGAUACUGUCAGUCUUGAGUACAGUAGAGGUGGGCGGAAUUCGUGGUGUAGCGGUGAAAUGCUUAGAUAUCACGAAGAACUCCGAUUGCGAAGGCAGCUCACAUGGACUGCAACUGACACUGAUGCU